UACGUAUGGAGCAAGCGUUAUCCGGAUUUACUGGGCGUAAAGGGAGCGUAGGCGGCCUGCCAAGUCUGAUGUGAAAUACCGGGGCUCAACCCCGGGACUGCUCUUGGAACUGCGUGGCUGGAGUGCAGGAGGGGCAGGCGGAAUUCCUGGUGUAGCGGUGAAAUGCGUAGAUAUCAGGAGGAACACCGGUGGCGAAGGCGGCCUGCUGGACUGCAACUGACGAUGAGGCCCGAAAGCGUGGGGAGCAAACAGG
rnacentral:rRNA from 1 species